AUGGCCGUGUGGUCUCCGUGGAGUCUGCUUCUCUGGGAAGAUGCAGUGCCCAGGCCCGUGGUCAAAGUGUUCAUCGCUGUAUCAGGGGAUGCUCAGCCCCCCAAGACCUGCCAAGUGUUCCUGUCCUGCUGGGCUCCCAACAUCAGCGACAUAACCUAUAGCUGGCGACGGGAGGGAACUGUGGACCUUGGUAUGGAGCCAGCUGGCCUCUUCACAGAUGGACAGGUGCUGAGUGUGUCCCUGGGACCGGGAGACAAAGGCGUGGCCUAUUCCUGCAUUGUCUCCAACCCCGUCAGCUGGGACCUGGCCACAGUCACCCCCUGGGAGAGCUGCCAUCGCCAGGCAGCUCCAGGGAGGGCCUCCUACAAAGACGUGCUGCUGGUGGUGGUGCCCGUCUUGCUGCUCCUGAUCCUGGCUGGUCUGUCUGCCUGGCACUGGGGCCCCUGGUCAGGGAAAAAGAAAAAGGAUGUCUGUGCUAAUGAAGUGGAUCAAGAGACAGAGAGCCCCCUCGUGGGUCUGCCAUGA
rnacentral:lncRNA from 1 species